ACGGGAGGCAGCAGUGGGGAAUAUUGCACAAUGGGGGAAACCCUGAUGCAGCGACGCCGCGUGAGUGAAGAAGUAUUUCGGUAUGUAAAGCUCUAUCAGCAAGGAAGAAAAUGACGGUACUUGACUAAGAAGCUCCGGCUAAAUACGUGCCAGCAGCCGCGGUAAUACGUAUGGAGCAAGCGUUAUCCGGAUUUACUGGGUGUAAAGGGAGCGUAGACGGCAAAGCAAGUCCGAAGUGAAAUCCCGGGGCUCAACCCCGGAACUGCUUUGGAAACUGUUUAGCUAGAGUGCAGGAGAGGUAAGCGGAAUUCCUAGUGUAGCGGUGAAAUGCGUAGAUAUUAGGAGGAACACCAGUGGCGAAGGCGGCUUACUGGACUGUAACUGACGUUGAGGCUCGAAAGCGUGGGGAGCAAACAGGAUUAGAUACCCUGGUA
rnacentral:rRNA from 1 species